AAUGAACGCUGGCGGCGCGCCUAAUACAUGCAAGUCGAGCGAGAAGACGUAGCAAUACGUUUGUAAAGCGGCGAACGGGUGAGGAAUACAUGGGUAACCUACCCUCGAGUGGGGAAUAACUAGCCGAAAGGUUAGCUAAUACCGCGUACGCUUCUUGGACUUCGGUUCAGGGAGGAAAGCGAUGCCGAGGGUAUCGCGCUCUUGGAUGGGCUCAUGUCCUAUCAGCUUGUUGGNGAGGUAACGGCUCACCAAGGCUUCGACGGGUAGCUGGUCUGAGAGGACGAUCAGCCACACUGGCACUGCGACACGGGCCAGACUCCUACGGGAGGCAGCAGUAAGGAAUAUUGCGCAAUGGGCGAAAGCCUGACGCAGCGACGCCGC
rnacentral:rRNA from 1 species